UACGUAGGGUGCGAGCGUUGUCCGGAAUUACUGGGCGUAAAGAGCUCGUAGGUGGUUUGUCGCGUUGUUCGUGAAAACUCACAGCUCAACUGUGGGCGUGCGGGCGAUACGGGCAGACUGGAGUACUGCAGGGGAGACUGGAAUUCCUGGUGUAGCGGUGGAAUGCGCAGAUAUCAGGAGGAACACCGGUGGCGAAGGCGGUUCUCUGGGCCUGUACUGACGCUGAGGAGCGAAAGCGUGAGGAGCGAACAGG
rnacentral:rRNA from 1 species